AGGGAUGUAGUUCAGUGGUAGAGAAUCUGCCUUGCAUGCAAAAGCCCCCAGUUUCAAUCUGUGGCAUCUCUA